rnacentral:rRNA from 1 species
AGUGAACGCUGGCGGUAGGCCUAACACAUGCAAGUCGAACGGCAGCACAGUAAGAGCUUGCUCUUACGGGUGGCGAGUGGCGGACGGGUGAGGAAUACAUCGGAAUCUACUUUUUCGUGGGGGAUAACGUAGGGAAACUUACGCUAAUACCGCAUACGACCUACGGGUGAAAGCAGGGGAUCUUCGGACCUUGCGCGAUUGAAUGAGCCGAUGUCGGAUUAGCUAGUUGGCGGGGUAAAGGCCCACCAAGGCGACGAUCCGUAGCUGGUCUGAGAGGAUGAGCAGCCACACUGGAACUGAGACACGGGCCAGACUCCUACGGGAGGCAGCAGUGGGGAAUAUUGGACAAUGGGCGCAAGCCUGAUCAAGCCAUACCGCGUGGGUGAAGAAGGCCUGCGGGUUGUAAAGCCCUUUUGUUGGGAAAGAAAAGCAGCAGGUUAAUACCCCGCUGUUCUGACGGUACCCAAAGAAUAAGCACCGGCUAACUUCGU